GGAAGACCGAACAUAGGAAACUGUGGAAGACUUUCAAAGAUGGCUUUAGAAAGUAAUCUGAAACCUCAAUCUGACCGAGAUAAGCAGUAGAGUCGAUCAGGAAUUUAGCGGUAGGGUUUCUCGCGAUAAAAUGUAAUGAAUGUGGAAUCUGUUGUGCGUGUAAUUGAAGUGCUGAGGAGUCCUUUACGUGGAAGAGGUGAAGCUGCAACAAAGGCUUCCUGCCCCAAGGAGCGUUAUGAACCAUAGCUGAGCAAGGCACAGCACGCAGCUACAAACACAUGGGUAACACGAGGAGACAGAGGCACCGCUGGUCAGAGCUGAGAAUCAGAGCCAGAUUUCAGUCCUCCCAUUGCAGAGGUUCUGCAGGAUCAGAAACUGUCUUUAAGGAGGGCGUGCUUAAUCUUUUAUCGCUCUCGUAUUGUACUAUUGCUGAUAUUUCAGCAGAUGUGACGGGCUAAGAGCAAAGCGCUAACAGGAGUGGAAAUCUGACAGGGCAUGUUUGAAAACUUAUUAGGAAAGAUUAGCCCAGCACACUGAUUGAGGAGAGCUGCUAGGAGUAACAGUUUCAAUAACAGGAGAUGUAAAGGAGGGCGAAGCAGAUACCAGAAGCGAUCUUGCAGUGAAGGGCACCAUCUCCAGAAGCAGAACUUGCUGCAAACCAGUAAAGCACAAUCACAAAUCGAAACGAGACCAACAGGAUCCCGUUUUAUGAAUACACCGCAGGGAUACGGCUGAAGGACAGAUGUAGUCAUUUACAGAGACCUUCCUGUAACUGUUUUUAAAGAUAGAGACUGCCACUGUUUGGAAGGUCAGAAGUUUCAUUCUCACCUCUGAAAUGAUGACAGUGGGCAGCUGGUGGAAGACGCUCCAAAAAAUCAUUCAUACCAACGUUAUGUUAGCUUUAUCAGCAGAUUUUGACAGGCACUGACCAGCCUUGCUCUUAAUGCUCCAAACAGCAGAAAUCCCAUCACCACUAUAGACAAUCUAGUCAGGUAGUCAACUAUUUUACCCCUAAAAUAUACUGCCAGGAGUAACCCAAUUCCUUCUCGCUCUAUUUAUGCUCUAUCUACUACUGACACACGGGACAAAUUGCUCCUUUCCCUUUCACACUUAAUUUUAUGCCUCAUGUACUUUAUAAUUAAAACUUCUGUAUGCAUCUCAGUAUCAUACCGUAUGGCUGCACAAAAAGCAAAUGCUCCUAUUCAACCCAUGGUCCAGGAUGACUUACUCAAAAGAACACCAUGUUUUGCCACCUAUAUUGCUUAUUUAGCUUUACUAUUUCAUAGAAUCACGGAAUUGCUCAGGUUGGAAAAGACCUCGGAGAUCAAGUCCAACUGCAACCCAACCUAUUUUGGGCUUGGAACAAGAGUGAAUAAGCCAGCUUAUUCAUUUAGGGCACUAUUUGAUUUGUUGGGAUCACUACGCUACAUCCUUAUUCUGACCUUCAGCAGUCUCCUCAAUGUUCUGAUAUAUGCUACUGUAGUAAGUACUGCCCAUUCUCUCCAGGUCAGGGGGUAAGGGGUAAAUCUAACCAAGGGACAGUCCUAAAAAAAAGAAAUCCACUCUGAUAAAAGAAUAUGAACUAAUUAGUAAACAAUCUCUAUAAAAUGGUUUUCAAAGUACUUCUGCAUCCAGCUUACAGUUGUUUCAGAUAGACCAAGUUUCUCUAACAUGCAAGACAGCUUCAAAAGCUACAGCCUAGAAAACAUCUGCUUUUCUUCUACCUAAGGGCCCAUACCUCUCAUCCAUGGCUUAUUCUCAAAAAAUUCAAGUUGGCUAAUUAUCUUUUACCACUUCCUUCCAGUUGCUCAACAUACUAUCCUCACCUCCUAAAGCUUUCUCUUAGACUGAAGUUGUAUUUCUGGGUUUAUUAUUCCACAUCCCUCUCGCCCUCCAUCUGCAUUUCAAGACAGAUGAGGUACUGGCUGGCUGAAUAUGAAGAAUAUAUUAUCUGUCAUCCAGGAUCUGUCAGGAAGUUAGAAGUUCCAAAACUGUUUCAGUCUGUUUACUAAGGAACACAGAAAGCAUUUACCCUUGAAGUUUUACACUAGAACAUCCCUGUUAGCCACCGAGCACGUACAAUUACCACCACCAAUAAAGGUAUCCUUGUUCCCACCUCAGCAUUGAACUUUGCAUUGAAAACUGAUAGAAAAAGGAAAUUCCUAACGCCAGUCUUUUGCAUUCAUAAGUCAGCAGAUGAUACCACGUUGAUCUGAUUUACUCACAGUUAAACACUAUUUCUUGCAUUCCACAGGUAUAACAGCAUAAGAGCUUUGACGUUUAUAGAACCGAUAUGGUAGUUAUGUGAUGUAAGUGAAACUUCAUCCUUGUACCCAAAAGACAUUAGUAAUUGAAUUGAUAAACAGCAGCUUAGCAAGUCACUUAAUAGAUUCAAGGCAUCAGAAUGCAGCACCUCACUUCCAUAUCACCAGUUAAAACAUGGUGCAAGUCUGGGCAUGUCUGCCUUCCAUUAUAGUGCCACAGCUGUUGUUCUAAAAAAAAGUAAGAAAAGCUCAUGGUUUUAGUUCAGUUCUUAGCUGAUAGAUAUCCACGUCAAACAAAAAGCAUCAUUAGUACUCAACAGAGAAAUCAAA
ensembl:lncRNA